UACGGAGGGUGCAAGCGUUGCUCGGAAUUACUGGGCGUAAAGGGCGUGUAGGCGGUUUCGUAUGUCUGGCGUGAAAGCCCCGGGCUCACCUCGGGAAGUGCGUCGGAAACUGCGAGACUAGAGUCCCGGAGAGGGAGGUGGAAUUCCAGGUGUAGCGGUGAAAUGCGUAGAUAUGGGGAGGAACACCGGUGGCGAAGGCGGCCAUCUGGACGGAUACUGACGCUGAGACGCGAAAGCGUGGGUAGCAAACAGG
rnacentral:rRNA from 1 species